AGAGUUUGAUCCUGGCUCAGGAUGAACGCUGGCGGCGUGCCUAACACAUGCAAGUCGAACGAAGCACCUUACCGGAUUCUUCGGAUGAAAGUUUGGUGACUGAGUGGCGGACGGGUGAGUAACGCGUGGGUAACCUGCCCUGUACAGGGGGAUAACAGUUGGAAACGGCUGCUAAUACCGCAUAAGCGCACGAGAGGACAUCCUCUUGUGUGAAAAACUCCGGUGGUACAGGAUGGGCCCGCGUCUGAUUAGCUGGUUGGCAGGGUAACGGCCUACCAAGGCAACGAUCAGUAGCCGGUCUGAGAGGAUGAACGGCCACAUUGGAACUGAGACACGGUCCAAACUCCUACGGGAGGCAGCAGUGGGGAAUAUUGCACAAUGGGGGAAACCCUGAUGCAGCAACGCCGCGUGAGUGAAGAAGUAUUUCGGUAUGUAAAGCUCUAUCAGCAGGGAAGAUAAUGACGGUACCUGACUAAGAAGCACCGGCUAAAUACGUGCCAGCAGCCGCGGUAAUACGUAUGGAGCAAGCGUUAUCCGGAUUUACUGGGUGUAAAGGGUGCGUAGGUGGCAGUGCAAGUCAGAUGUGAAAGGCCGGGGCUCAACCCCGGAGCUGCAUUUGAAACUGCUCGGCUAGAGUACAGGAGAGGCAGGCGGAAUUCCUAGUGUAGCGGUGAAAUGCGUAGAUAUUAGGAGGAACACCAGUGGCGAAGGCGGCCUGCUGGACUGUUACUGACACUGAGGCACGAAAGCGUGGGGAGCAAACAGGAUUAGAUACCCUGGUAGUCCACGCCGUAAACGAUGAUUACUAGGUGUGGGGGGACUGACCCCUUCCGUGCCGCAGCAAACGCAAUAAGUAAUCCACCUGGGGAGUACGACCGCAAGGUUGAAACUCAAAGGAAUUGACGGGGGCCCGCACAAGCGGUGGAGCAUGUGGUUUAAUUCGAAGCAACGCGAAGAACCUUACCAGGUCUUGACAUCCUUCUGACCGCACCUUAAUCGGUGCUUUCCUUCGGGACAGAAGAGACAGGUGGUGCAUGGUUGUCGUCAGCUCGUGUCGUGAGAUGUUGGGUUAAGUC
rnacentral:rRNA from 1 species